ensembl:lncRNA
AAACGUUUUAAAAAGUCGCAUUAUUUAGGAAGCGUGCAAAGGCGAAUUGAGUUAUGCACACGCGCACCUCAAAGUAGGCGUUCCCUAACGGAAAUAUGCAGAUAAUGUAAAAUGUUGGUACUAAGAUCUCGACAUUAAAAACGUUAACAUUAAUGGCAUUUGUUGAAUUGCCUUAGAUUAAUUCUGACUAUUUUGGGGAAGUUGCUACAGCGUCUCAAAAUGGACAAGUACUACUAUUGCCGCUUUUUCUCGUUUCUCACGCGAAUGUAUUUUGUUAAGGGAGCAUGCGAGUGCACUCGUUCGGUUCGGUGUCAGCCCAACUGAACUGAAGCAUGCGAACGCCUGAGCUGAUCAGAAAACACUUGUAUGAGUGAUAGUAUGUUGGAUCAAUAGGAAAUUCAUCAGGGAUGUCUGCCGCUCUGCCUUAAUUUACCAGUGCCUUUACCCUGGGCUUUAAUCUAUAGCUGUGAGACUAGCAACAUCAGAAAAAAACACACACCAAAAUGACUGACUUUGUCUAUGGGAUAGAAAUUCUGCAUAAAAUGUAAAUGCUUUGGAAUGUUAUUUGUCAAUUCUUCUGGAGUUUUGACUCUUUCAAAACGAUACCGAGUGGUCUUCCAUUGCCUUUCUGUACGUGGUGAAAGUGGAAAUCCCGUAAUAUGACGGCACGUUGAACAUGUGCUUGCUACUUCACUACCCUGAGAAAACCCAUCUGCCGCGGUAUCGCACAUUCACGGCGCAGUAGCAUACUAUAUGCACACAGGAACUAGCCUUCCCCCUAUCCUGCUACGCGUGGAGAGGGAGACUGAGAGCGUUGCCUUUUAAUUAACAUCAGCAGCUGCUGACUCAGCAGUUUCUGAAAGCAAGAUGUCACCCCUCCAGCCUGCCUGGCCAGCAGCCAAUCCGUUUGGAGAAUCGAUUCCAUUUUAACAGUGUGCUGUGAAAUGGCCUGAUGUAUGGCUGGGGUUGUGUGUGUGUGUGUACAGAGGCCCUAGUGGAGUGUGUUUUCUGUUGUUUCCUUAACCUUUUUUUUGUAUGUGAAACGGAAGUUAGAAAUAAUAAAAAUGUGUUCAUACUUUUGCCUUAUUUGUCUUGAGAAAUGUUGGUUGGCAAUUCCCAUAACACUUCCACUUCCAGCUGCUGCCUUUGGCCAAGUGACGGUCAUUAAGUCUGAAAACUCUCAUGUUUACAAUGCCUAGCAGCAUACCAAAUGACACCUACAGAGGAGGAAAAUG